AGGGUUUGAUCAUGGCUCAGAUUGAACGCUGGCGGCAGGCCUAACACAUGCAAGUCGAGCGGUAGAGAGAAGCUUGCUUCUCUUGAGAGCGGCGGACGGGUGAGUAAUGCCUAGGAAUCUGCCUGGUAGUGGGGGAUAACGCUCGGAAACGGACGCUAAUACCGCAUACGUCCUACGGGAGAAAGCAGGGGACCUUCGGGCCUUGCGCUAUCAGAUGAGCCUAGGUCGGAUUAGCUAGUUGGUGAGGUAAUGGCUCACCAAGGCGACGAUCCGUAACUGGUCUGAGAGGAUGAUCAGUCACACUGGAACUGAGACACGGUCCAGACUCCUACGGGAGGCAGCAGUGGGGAAUAUUGGACAAUGGGCGAAAGCCUGAUCCAGCCAUGCCGCGUGUGUGAAGAAGGUCUUCGGAUUGUAAAGCACUUUAAGUUGGGAGGAAGGGCAUUAACCUAAUACGUUAGUGUUUUGACGUUACCGACAGAAUAAGCACCGGCUAACUCUGUGCCAGCAGCCGCGGUAAUACAGAGGGUGCAAGCGUUAAUCGGAAUUACUGGGCGUAAAGCGCGCGUAGGUGGUUUGUUAAGUUGGAUGUGAAAUCCCCGGGCUCAACCUGGGAACUGCAUUCAAAACUGACAAGCUAGAGUAUGGUAGAGGGUGGUGGAAUUUCCUGUGUAGCGGUGAAAUGCGUAGAUAUAGGAAGGAACACCAGUGGCGAAGGCGACCACCUGGACUGAUACUGACACUGAGGUGCGAAAGCGUGGGGAGCAAACAGGAUUAGAUACCCUGGUAGUCCACGCCGUAAACGAUGUCAACUAGCCGUUGGGAGCCUUGAGCUCUUAGUGGCGCAGCUAACGCAUUAAGUUGACCGCCUGGGGAGUACGGCCGCAAGGUUAAAACUCAAAUGAAUUGACGGGGGCCCGCACAAGCGGUGGAGCAUGUGGUUUAAUU
rnacentral:rRNA from 1 species